UAUAGUGAGUGAAAUUAUGGCUUUGACUAUGAGAUCAUUUUUCAAAUAUUUUAUACUUACUUUGUUUAUCUUGACCAUAAAUUUUUGUCAGUACUGUAAUGGACUACCUCCAAGGAAAGAAUUUAUGCCUUGGUAUCCUCAGAUACCAAUAACAUCUUGCGUUUCUGGGCGAGAGGUGGAUUCAUGCUAUAUGGGCAGCUAUCAUGAUACAAAAUGUGUGUUUGGAUUCUGCUUCGUCAAACCCUACAAAAGAGAUUGACUUUU